rnacentral:rRNA from 1 species
GGAGAGUGGUCAGCCACAUCGGGACUGAGACACUGCCCGGACUCCUACGGGAGGCUGCAGUCGAGAAUAUUUCCCAAUGGACGAAAGUCUGAGGAUGCGACGUCGCGUGGAGGAUGAAGGUUUUCGGAUCGUAAACUCCUUUUAUUGAGGAGGAAGGUUAUAAGGUUAAUAUCCUUGUAAUUUGACUGUACUCAAUGAAUAAGCCACGGCUAACUCCGUGCCAGCAGCCGCGGUAAUACGGAGGUGGCAAGCGUUACUCGGUUUGACUGGGUGUAAAGGGUCCGCAGGCGGCCAGACAAGUGAAAGGUGAAAUCUUCCGGCUUAACUGGGAAGUUGCCUUUCAAACUGUUUGGCUUGAGGUUGGAAGAGGAGAGCGGAACUGUCGGUGUAAGGGUGAAAUCUUUGGAUAUCGACAGGAACGCCCGUGGAGAAGUCGGCUCUCUGGUCCAAACCUGACGCUCAGGGACGAAAGCUAGGGGAGCAAACAGGAUUAGAUACCCUGGUAGUCCUAGCUGUAAACGAUGAGCACUAGGUGUUUCUGAUUUAUCAGGAGUGCCGUAGCUAACGCGUUAAGUGCUCCACCUGGGGACUACGGCCGCAAGGCUAAAACUCAAAGGAAUUGACGGGGACCCGCACAAGCGGUGGAACACGUGGUUUAAUUCGAUGCUACGCGAGGAACCUUACCAGGGUUUGACAUGUUGGAAGUAAUCGCCCGAAAGGGUGGAUGACCUGUAACCAGUCAGGUACCAGCACAGGUGCUGCAUGGUUGUCGUCAGCUCGUGCCGUGAGGUGUUCCCUUAAGUGGGAGAACGAGCGCAACCCUCGCCUUUAGUUGCCACUUUAGUUUUUUCUGAAAAGACUAGAAGCACUCUAAAGGGACUGCCCGCGUUAAGUGGGAGGAAGGCGGGGACGACGUCAAAUCCGCAUGGCCCUUAUGUCCUGGGCUACACACGUGUUACAAUGCCUACUAUAAAGGGGGGCGAAGCCGUGAGGUGAAGCAAACCCCAAAGAAAGUAGGCUCAGUUCGGAUCGAAGGCUGCAACUCGCCUUCGUGAAGUUGGAAUCGCUAGUAAUGGCGCAUCAGCAACGGCGCCGUGAAUACGUUCCCGGGUCUUGUACACACCGCCCGUCAAGCGCUGAAAGUGGGGGGCGCCCGAAGCCUCGAUUAUUCGAGGUCACGGUGAAUUUCAUGAUUGGCGCUAAGUCGGAACAAGGUA